UAAGAGGUCCCGCCUGCCCAGUGACACUAUGUUCAACGGCCGCGGUAUUUUAACCGUGCAAAGGUAGCGCAAUCACUUGUCUUUUAAAUGAAGACCUGUAUGAAUGGUAGAACGAGGGCUUAACUGUCUCCUUUCCCAAGUCAAUGAAAUUGAUCUUCCCGUGCAGAAGCGGAAAUACAAACAUAAGACGAGAAGACCCUAUGGAGCUUUAGACAUAAAGACAGAACAUGUAAAAACCACUUAGCAACAAGACAAAACUUAUUGUAACUCUGUUCUAUGUCUUUGGUUGGGGCGACCACGGAGAAUUAAACAACCUCCACGUGGAAAGAAAGCAUUAAAUAUUUAGCAUUCAGACCCAAGAGCUACAGCUCUAAGUAACAGAAUCUCUGACCUUCAAGAUCCGGCAAAACCGAUUAACGAACCAAGUUACCCUAGGGAUAACAGCGCAAUCCUCUUUUAGAGCCCAUAUCGACAAGAGGGUUUACGACCUCGAUGUUGGAUCAGGACAUCCUAAUGGUGCARCCGCUAUUAAGGGUUCGUUUGUUCAACG
rnacentral:rRNA from 1 species